rnacentral:tRNA from 1 species
CAAAAGAUAGUUUAAGUAAAAUACUGGCUUUGGGGGCUAGUGACAAGGAGAUGUAGGCCUUUCUUUUGA